rnacentral:rRNA from 1 species
AGUGAACGCUGGCGGUAGGCCUAACACAUGCAAGUCGAACGGCAGCACAUUAAGAGCUUGCUCUUACGGGUGGCGAGUGGCGGACGGGUGAGGAAUACAUCGGAAUCUACUUUUUCGUGGGGGAUAACGUAGGGAAACUUACGCUAAUACCGCAUACGACCUACGGGUGAAAGCAGGGGAUCUUCGGACCUUGCGCGAUUGAAUGAGCCGAUGUCGGAUUAGCUAGUUGGCGGGGUAAAGGCCCACCAAGGCGACGAUCCGUAGCUGGUCUGAGAGGAUGAUCAGCCACACUGGAACUGAGACACGGUCCAGACUCCUACGGGAGGCAGCAGUGGGGAAUAUUGGACAAUGGGCGCAAGCCUGAUCCAGCCAUACCGCGUGGGUGAAGAAGGCCUUCGGGUUGUAAAGCCCUUUUGUUGGGAAAGAAAAGCAGCAGGUUAAUACCCCGCUGUUCUGACGGUACCCAAAGAAUAAGCACCGGCUAACUUCGUG